CGGAUUUGUGCACUCAUAGCCAAAUAAAUACAAGGAAAAGGUAGUUUUCACACAAAACUACCUAAGGACACAUGGCAGCAUACAAACAUGACACUUGGCCAACUAUUACAAGUAUAAAUGGGCAGUUUUCAUGCAUUUUCAGGCCUCAACCGCUCCAUAACUUCCUCAAAUCCGCCCACAAGGCUGAUUUCCGAAGCCCAACUUGAACGAGCCCGCGAACGCGCGCCAAACGGCCCAAACAGCCCGGCCGGUUGCUAGGCAGCCCAUCUGCCUUGCCUUUUCCGCACUUUAGCUUCCCUUUACCGAUUACUUGCCAGUUCUUUGCCCACACGGUCAUCGACACGCCCGCUCAUCGGGCUGCCUUGCUUGCCUUGCCAAUUUUGCCCACACUUGUCAAGUCGUGGUCGAUUUCCCUCGAACGUUCGUUUGCCCACGUUAUCGGCCGCAUGCCGAUGAUUGCCCACGCUUUGUCCGACUUUGCUGCCGAGCAACGCCCGUGCCAGCCACAAGUACUUUCGAUCACCGUUCCCACUUGAAUCAAGCCGAUCCUUGCUUUUCUCGGCCAAGCACCCCAAAUGCUUGCCGAUCACUCGACCACUCAUUGGCCGAACGCCCGACCACUCAUUGGCCGGUUGUGUGGCUGCCUUGUGCCAAUCCCCACUUGGCACCAUUUAUCGGUCAUGGCUCGGCCACACUCGAGCCAUUACCGAUGUCACUGAUUAAGGGGGUAACAGACCUCCCCCACCAACGGUGUUCGACGCCCUCGUCGAACCGACACCAUCGGCUUCAGCUUUCCACUUGUCUUGCCACCGUCUUCGAUUGUGCUUGCGCACCAGCACCACAUCGAAACCCAAAAUAUCCCAAGUCUGAUCCCACGAAUUUCCCACAAAUUCUUUCAGCCCUCGGAAAAACGAACGCCAACCACGUUCAAACGGCAGCACCCAACCACAAGUGAAAAUACUAGUUUUUGGCACAACUAGUAUUUUAUCUCGAUUGCCACACCGAUCGAGAAAGGAGACUUCCAGCCCACGAAAAUCACCCAAGCACGGCUUCCAUUUCAUCAACAACAGAAACCAGCCCAACAAAAACCCAACAACUUGCACACGAAAUUCAGAAGAUACCACAUUUCGAACCCACGAGUUGUGCCACACACGGCAGCAACUUAGAACAAAAGUUAGGCCACAAUGCCCAUUCAUCAACCCAAAUGAAUACCUUAACUUGCCUUCUGCCCUCGACUCAUUUCUCGGCAACGCACGUACAAGCAAACCAGCCCGAGAAUUCACCGUCUUGGUUCCAACGGCUGCAAUUAGGCUCGAUGACUCCUCGUCGUUCGAUUCUGCCUCCAAUUGCACCGCAGCCAACCUCGCCACCGGUUUCUUUCCCGCCUUUGCUUUUGUCACGUACGAGCAUUCGACAAAGCAUGGACGCUCUUCGUCCAUAAUCAUCAGCCCACCGAGAAACGGAAUCACCGCAGCCUUGGCAGCAAGUAGGAACUCUUGCCCCAAUAUCACGUCGAAAUCAUCAAGUGGUACGGCAGUCAGCCCGCACUGCCCUUUCCAAGAACCGAUCACUAGAUCGACAUCGGUUCUGCCUCUCACCGGCCCCGCUCUGAAUUUACAGCCUUGACUUGGCUUGCAUGUUUUGAGAGAGUCAAGCCCAGCUUCUUGACUUCUCUCUCGGCAACGAAGUUAUGAGUUGCUCCCGAAUCAACCAUAGCCUUCACCUCUUUGCCAUUGAUCAGCACCGUGGCAUACAUCAAGCCCUUGGUGCCGUUGGGUGCCUUGUCCACGACCAAAGCACUCAACAAUUGAAUCGGAGUUGCUCUCCUCGUCUCGUCCGAUUCUUCCACACUAUCCGAAUCCCGCAUCAAAGCAUUCAACUUGCUCCGCUUAGGGCAGUCCCUCAUUCGGUGGUUGCCAUCACAUAGAAAGCACCCACGGUUCUGUUUGUUGACGACGGGCUGUCCACCGGUCUUGGUUUGCACCGAGGAUCCUUCGCCAUCACCGCUCUCUUUGUGCUUCCAAUUUCGGCCACCCUUGCCACCGAACUUCUUCCCCUUGGACUUAUCCCUCUUCGAGCCUUCCUUAUCGGAAUCAUCGGCCCCCAUCACCUUGUAAUCGACAAGUCGGUCCGCUGCCGAGAUAGCACUUGGCAGAUCCUUCACACCUUGUCUCCGCAACUCGGUUUGGGCCCAUGGCUGCAAUCCAACCAUGAAGUUGAACAGCUUAUCUUCAUCGGACAUAUCACGUAUGUCAAGGAGCAGAGAACUGAAUUCCUUGACAUACUCCCUCACGGUUCCCUUGUGCUUCAAUUGCCGAAGGGAUUCCCUUGCAAUCCAGCCCACGUUGCAAGGUAGGAAUUGCUCUUUCAACUCCCGUUUCAGCACCUCCCAAGUCUCGAUCUUGACUCGGUUAGCACUUGCAUCGUCUGACAAACGAGCACGCCACCACAACUUUGCAUCGCCCACAAGAUACAUACUUGUAAUGGUAACUUUCUCGCGAUCCGGAACCUUCGCUGCCUCGAAGUAAUUCUCCAUAUCCCACACGAAGUUUUCAACUUCUUUGGCGCUGCGUACACCAUCAAACGCAGUCGGUUCCGGCACACGAACCUUGGAUCCCGAUGUUCUGCCCUCAGAACUCGAGCCUUCAUUACGAACAACCCUUUUCAACACCGCCAGAUCUGUAAGCAUCCCAUCAAGCUUCGUCUCAACGGCAUCAAUGAGGAGUCCCAUCUCCUCGGCAACGGACGUGAAUCUGCCCUCCACAAAUUCGGGCAGAUCGUCCAACGAUCUUGACAAACGAUCGAUAUCUCGCUUCCCAUCAGCGAGUCUUUGCAAAAUCGGUGGAUCCGUUGGAUCUAGGGGCGGCCCAACCAAGGCUUCAAGACGUUGCAGCCUUGAUUCCAUCUCUAGCAUCAUCACACGAGUAGGAUUUGGAUUUGUCGAAGAUCCAGAAUCGUCAGCCAUGCCGAACAGCAACACGUUCAGAACCCUUGAACCGGGCUCUGAUACCAACUGUUACAGGGGUUAAUUUAUCACCGAAAUUUUCCCACCGUACGGCCUGAUUUGCCCACCAAACCAGUCAGCCUUCCUCACGAUUUUCUUCGCACAAACACGCACAAACACAAGUCUUUUCAGCCACGUAAACGAAUACAAGAGUAUGCAGCGGAAAUCAAACACACAAGCACGUUUACGGGCAAUGCCCAACCUUUAUAUUAAUUCCCACAACGAAUACAAAGGAGACUAAGGUGCACACACAAAAUCCUCACUCAGAAUUGCCCAACAAUUGCAAUCUGAACUCUCAUAUGCUAGAUACUAGAUGCCUCGGAUUUGUGCACUCAUAGCCAAAUAAAUACAAGGAAAAGGUAGUUUUCACACAAAACUACCUAAGGACACAUGGCAGCAUACAAACAUGACACUUGGCCAACUAUUACAAGUAUAAAGGGGCAGUUUUCAUGCAUUUUCAGGCCUCAACCGCUCCAUAACUUCCUCAAAUCCGCCCACAAGGCUGAUUUCCGAAGCCCAACUUGAACGAGCCCGCGAACGCGCGCCAAACGGCCCAAACAGCCCGGCCGGUUGCUAGGCAGCCCAUCUGCCUUGCCUUUUCCGCACUUUAGCUUCCCUUUACCGAUUACUUGCCAGUUCUUUGCCCACACGGUCAUCG
rnacentral:lncRNA from 1 species